rnacentral:rRNA from 1 species
UGCAAGUCGGACGGGAUUGGAGAGCUUGCUUUCCAUGAGAGUGGCGCACGGGUGCGAAACACGUAUGUAACCUACCCUUAUCAGGGGGAUAGCCUCUCGAAAGAGAGAUUAAGCCCGCAUAAUAUUACAUCAUAGCAUUGUGGAGUAAUCAAAUAUUUAUAGGAUAAGGAUGGGCAUGCGGAACAUUAGCUAGUUGGUAAGGUAAUGGCUUACCAAGGCUACGAUGUUUAGGGGAUCUGAGAGGAUGACCCCCCACACUGGUACUGAGACACGGACCAGACUCCUACGGGAGGCAGCAGUAAGGAAUAUUGGUCAAUGGGCGGAAGCCUGAACCAGCCAUGCCGCGUGCAGGAAGACGGCCCUACGGGUUGUAAACUGUUUUUGCAGGGGAAUAAACCUCCGGUCGUGACCGGAGCUGAAUGUACUCUGAGAAUAAGGAUCGGCUAACUCCGUGCCAGCAGCCGCGGUAAUACGGAGGAUCCAAGCGUUAUCCGGAUUUAUUGGGUUUAAAGGGUGCGUAGGCGGCCUAUUAAGUCAGGGGUGAAAGACGGUAGCUUAACUAUCGCAGUGCCUCUGAUACUGAUGGGCUUGAAUAUACUAGAGGUAGGCGGAAUGUGACGAGUAGCGGUGAAAUGCAUAGAUAUGUCACAGAACACCAAUUGCGAAGGCAGCUUACUAUGGUAUUAUUGACGCUGAGGCACGAAAGCGUGGGGAUCAAACAGGAUUAGAUACCCUGGUAGUCCACGCCCUAAACGAUGAAUACUCGAUGUUAGCGAUAUACAG